CUGCUGUGUUCAUCCAGCUCUACACCAUGUUAUCUCAGAUUCUCCAGCAUAUGCAGUUUCUACUAUCUCUAGGACUGGGCAUUGUCGACUGUGUUGGAGAUUGGGAAAGCUAGGAUCACAUUGGUGAUUAGCAAUCUGUGUAAAACACUGAUUAGGCUUCAGUUACUAUAUCGUGCCUAGUUCUGACACCACACAUCAGCAAGGAGGUGAAGGCAGUGGGAAUCGAGGGUGUAGUAAAUGAUUAUUGUGGUCAGGGACUUGGUUCCAUGGAUCGGCUUGAGAAGCUGGGGUUGUUCUCCCUUAAGUGGAGAAAGUUGAGAGACGGUUUUGCAGAGAUAUUCAAAAUCAUGGAUCUGGAAGAGAAUGACAAGGGAGAGUCAACACAGUGUGGAGCUGAAGGAAUACAGCAGGUCAGGCAGCAUCAGAGGAGUAGGAAAGUUGACAUUUUGGGUCCGGACCCUUACUCCACACUGCGUUGACUCUGACUGUGGCAUCUGCAGUUCUUGGUAUCUUCGAGAGGCCAGGGAAAAGCUUUUUCUAUGGAUGAAAGGGUCAAUAACCAUAGGACACAGAUCUAAAAUAAUUAGCAAAAGAAGUAAAGGUGAACAGGAUAAUUAAAAUUAAACAGAAAAUUAAGAAGUAGUUAAGAUUUGAAAUGCACUACACGAAUGAGGUGGAGGCAGUUUCCAGAAUAGCUUUCAAAAUUAUUUGAAAAGAAAAGAUACAGGAGUGUGAUAUUGGUUGAGUUGAUCUUACAGAGUUGACAGGAUUUAAGAGAUUGAAUGGUCUCAUACACUAAUCAUUCAUUGAUUCUAUCUGUGCAGACCUUUCGCUUAACAAUAAUUCCUGUUAGCUUCCAAUUUUGAAUAAGAGAUUGGACUUAGAAAUAUAUAUUCAGGCAAACUUUGACACUCAGCAGCCAGUGCCUUCACGUACUGGAUUCCUGCUCACUGGUGUGGCAUAGAGAGCAUUGCAAUACUUAGUCUGAGGGCAAUGUCUGCUGAUAAUGGGAAAUGCAUAUGCAAGGUUGUACCAAAGUGUGCCAUUAUCUCCAAUCCCUUAUCAAGGCUUAUGAGUCUGUCAAACAGGCAUGUCAUUGGCUGUGAAAGAUUGUUUCCUAAGUGUUUCUCAAUCCAACAAACUGUUGGAGUGCUUUCACAUUUGUUGGCCACUGCAUCACGACUACAACUGUCACCUUGUCAGGAUCUGGAUGAAGUCUUCUCCUUCAACCAACACUUCCAUACCCGGGGCUAAGUGUGGAAGAUGUCACAAAAAGGGCAAAGAUGAUGAAAAGCCACAACUCAUAAAAUUCAAGAUUUCACCAAGAACCAAAUGUUGCCAGGAGAUGAAUUCGGGUGCAUUUUUUAAACCAAGUCUUUCUUCAUAUGAUUCAAUAUUUACUUGGUGUUUUCCAAAUAAAAUGUUUGAAACUUCGAGCUA